CCGGGUGUAGCUCAGCAGCAAGAGCAUGUAGCUCACGCCUACAAGAUCGCUGGUGCAAGUCCAGCCUCCCGGA
rnacentral:tRNA from 2 species